rnacentral:snRNA from 1 species
GCUUAUGUGCUAUAAUAUUAUUAGCAGAAAAGUUAAAGGCGGUGGCGACUUCCGUAGAUUGGAGGUGGUGCUUAUGGUGUAAAAACCAACGUACCACGAUACCGAACGAAAGGAGUAGCCUUGUGUCCAUUUCGGACGCUUUACAGCUUAUGCUGGGCUUCGGCACAUUUGUCGUAGUCUUACUAGCAUUGG